UGGGGAAUAUUGGACAAUGGGCGCAAGCCUGAUCCAGCCAUGCCGCGUGUGUGAAGAAGGCCUUUUGGUUGUAAAGCACUUUAAGCGAGGAGGAGGCUACUUAGAUUAAUACUCUAGGAUAGUGGACGUUACUCGCAGAAUAAGCACCGGCUAACUCUGUGCCAGCAGCCGCGGUAAUACAGAGGGUGCGAGCGUUAAUCGGAUUUACUGGGCGUAAAGCGUGCGUAGGCGGCUUUUUAAGUCGGAUGUGAAAUCCCUGAGCUUAACUUAGGAAUUGCAUUCGAUACUGGGAAGCUAGAGUAUGGGAGAGGAUGGUAGAAUUCCAGGUGUAGCGGUGAAAUGCGUAGAGAUCUGGAGGAAUACCGAUGGCGAAGGCAGCCAUCUGGCCUAAUACUGACGCUGAGGUACGAAAGCAUGGGGAGCAAACAGGAUUAGAUACCCUGGUAGUCCAUGCCGUAAACGAUGUCUACUAGCCGUUGGGGCCUUUGAGGCUUUAGUGGCGCAGCUAACGCGAUAAGUAGACCGCCUGGGAG
rnacentral:rRNA from 1 species